rnacentral:rRNA from 1 species
GAUGAACGCUCGCGAUAGGCUUAACACAUGCAAGUCGAGGGGCAGCACAAGGUAGCUUGCUAUCUGGGUGGCGACCGGCGCACGGGUGCGUAACGCGUAUGCAACUUGCCCUAUACAGGAGGAUAACCCGUCGAAAGACGGACUAAUACUGCGUAUGCUCACAACUUGGCAUCAAGUGGUGAGGAAAGAAAUUCGGUAUAGGAUAGGCAUGCGUCCCAUUAGCUUGUUGGUGAGGUAACGGCUCACCAAGGCAACGAUGGGUAGGGGAACUGAGAGGUUUAUCCCCCACACUGGUACUGAGACACGGACCAGACUCCUACGGGAGGCAGCAGUGAGGAAUAUUGGUCAAUGGGCGCGAGCCUGAACCAGCCAAGUCGCGUGAAGGAUGACUGUCUUAUGGAUUGUAAACUUCUUUUAGACGGGAAUAACAAGAGUCACGGGUGACUCCCUGCAUGUACCGUAUGAAUAAGCAUCGGCUAACUCCGUG